AGAGCUCAAAUUUGAAAUCUGGCCCCCUCGGGGUCCGAGUUGUAAUUUGCAGAGGAUGCUUCGGGUGCGGCCCCCGUCUAAGUGCCCUGGAACGGGCCGUCAUAGAGGGUGAGAAUCCCGUCUGGGACGGGGUGUCCGUGCCCGUGUGAAGCUCCUUCGACGAGUCGAGUUGUUUGGGAAUGCAGCUCUAAAUGGGUGGUAAAUUUCAUCUAAAGCUAAAUACUGGCCGGAGACCGAUAGCGCACAAGUAGAGUGAUCGAAAGAUGAAAAGCACUUUGAAAAGAGAGUUAAAUAGCACGUGAAAUUGUUGAAAGGGAAGCGCUUGCGACCAGACUCGCCCGCGGGGUUCAGCCGGCAUUCGUGCCGGUGUACUUCCCCGUGGGCGGGCCAGCGUCGGUUUGGGCGGCCGGUCAAAGGCCCCCGGAAUGUAGUGCCCUUCGGGGCACCUUAUAGCCGGGGGUGCAAUGCGGCCAGCCUGGACCGAGGAACGCGCUUCGGCACGGACGCUGGCAUAAUGGUUGCAAACGACC
rnacentral:rRNA from 1 species